AGCAUUAAUACUUAUUGAAAUUACAAUUGAUUCACCUCAAAUGUUGAGGCCGGAGCCUUGAAGAAGAAAGAAAUAGGCGAACCGCGGAUAUGGAGGGCUGCAGCUGGAAGAUGAAGAAAGAAAUUGGGAUUCGGGGAGAGUUCGAAGUGAAGACUGCCGGCCACAGGCGGGAACGGACCAACGUGCUCUCGAGAGAGAGAACAAAGAUGAGAGAGUGGAGCUUUGGGUUUAGUUUGGGG
rnacentral:lncRNA from 1 species